rnacentral:misc_RNA from 1 species
GUUUAAAUUUAUUCAUAUGAGUAUUUAUAUAAAGCACCUUUAAAUCAUAUAUUAAUGCUAAUUACAAGCUGUGGUUGGAGGAUAUAGAGUAUGCCAGAGGAAGCAAUAUUUAUUAUUGCAAUUAGAAUACAUGGAUUCAUGAAUAUGCAACUGAAAUUAAAUAUAUUGGGGUAGGGUUGGGGUUAUACUUUAUGGAGAAGUUUUGGGCUGGUAAAUGGACUCAUGGCUUCUUUUCACAGAACUGUAUUUUUUGCUUUAUGUUGAAUAUUGUAUUUUUUUAAAUGUGGGUGAUUAGAACAUUCUCAUGCACAUCUCUUGGAAUUGCAAAACUAUUAUAAUGGUAAAUUUUCUGGAAGCAGAUUGAGAAGCAAGAGUUU